GGCGCGGCGCUGCCCAACGCGCAGUGCCCCAAAGUCGAGGGUCUUGCUCUCGAAGGCACCCUCGACGUUGCAGAAGAGCCCCCCGCGCUUCGGACGAGGCGCCGCCGCCGAGCCGGGCCGCGCCAGGUAACUUGAAUUUCUGGAUUAUUCAGGUCUAAAGGGUUAGGAGAAGAGAAGAUGGACUAAAUGAAAACAGACUGUGUCUGUAAACUUGGAAGAGUUACUUUAAAAGCCUCGCAUUACACAGCAUGGUGAAAUACUGGUCAGUGUCUGCCCUUUCUUUCUCUAAAGCAGCACCAGAGAGGGUUGCAUUUGGUUGUUCUUGGGCUCUUACGUGAACUUCAAUACGCAGCUGCCCCAGCAUUGUGGCUUCAUGAUGCUCAGCACCAUGAGUGCCAUGCACCAGAGCCCUGCUGCCACCUCACCAGGAUGUGCCAGGAGAAGAGCCCAGCACUGUCACGUCUCAGAUGCAGGGGCAGCAGCAGUGGCUGACAGCUAGAGAAGAAAGUAUCCCUUCAAAUAGCCAGAAAACGUUUGUUCCGCAGUUUUUUCUACUCCCAUUCUCCUGGCAAAUGCCCCUCCUCUGUAACUGGAGGCUUAGCAGCAAGACCACCAGUACUGGCCAAGCAAAUGCACACAAAGUGGCUGCCCAGCAGGUCUUUACCUUCCUAAGGGACUGCCUUAGCAUAAAGGAAUCAGUCCUCCUGCUGCAAGUGGGAUCCACUGAGCAGAAGAUGAAACCCCCUCUCAGAUAGCCCCUGCCCGCGGUGAGUGGGAUGUGCUGAUCUUGGCGCUGGCGGCUGGCAUGCUUCACACAGCCAGCUGAGCCCCUGCCUCCUCGUGGCCAGGCAAUAGCACAUGAGGAGUGGGCCUCUCCUGGCAGGAACAGCACUGCCGGCUGCCCUGUGCCUGUGUGCACUAACCGCAGUGGAGUUAGAGUGAACCCCUUGUUCUGGCUGGGACAACAUCUCUGUACAGCUCUGCAACUUUAUGGGGAAUUAAAAUUCUCUGGAACA